ACACUGCUGAGGAGUCCCAAAUAGGACAAAACGCGAGUCAAACUGGAU
rfam:Schistosoma rodhaini strain Burundi genome assembly, scaffold: SROB_scaffold0001908